rnacentral:rRNA from 1 species
CCUACGGGAGGCAGCAGUGAGGAAUAUUGGUCAAUGGGCGGAAGCCUGAACCAGCCAAGUCGCGUGAGGGAUUAAGGCCCUGCGGGUCGUAAACCUCUUUUGCCGGGGAGCAGAGGUCCGGACGUGUCCGGGCCGGGAGAGUACCCGGAGAAAAAGCAUCGGCUAACUCCGUGCCAGCAGCCGCGGUAAUACGGAGGAAGCGAGCGUCAUCCGGUUUUAUUGGGUUUAAAGGGUGCGUAGGCGGGCAUUUAAGCCGGCGGUCAAAUGUCGGGGCUCAACCCCGGCCUGCCGUCGGAACUGGGUGAAUUGAGUGGGCGAGAGGUAUGCGGAAUGCGUGGUGUAGCGGUGAAAUGCAUAGAUAUCACGCAGAACCCCGAUUGCGAAGGCAGCAUACCGGCGCCCUACUGACGCUGAGGCACGAAAGUGCGGGUAUCGAACAGGAUUAGAUACCCCGGUAGUC